AGUGAACGCUGGCGGUAGGCCUAACACAUGCAAGUCGAACGGCAGCACAGUAAGAGCUUGCUCUUACGGGUGGCGAGUGGCGGACGGGUGAGGAAUACAUCGGAAUCUACUUUUUCGUGGGGGAUAACGUAGGGAAACUUACGCUAAUACCGCAUACGACCUACGGGUGAAAGCAGGGGAUCUUCGGACCUUGCGCGAUUGAAUGAGCCGAUGUCGGAUUAGCUAGUUGGCGGGGUAAAGGCCCACCAAGGCGACGAUCCGUAGCUGGUCUGAGAGGAUGAAGCGCCACCUUGAAAGUGAGACACGGCCCGGGCCCCGAGGGGAGGCAGCGGGGGGGAAUAUUGGAAAAAGGGGGGAAGCCUGUACCAGCCAAGCCGGGUGGGUGAAGAAGCGCUUCGGGUUGGAAAGCCCUUUUUUGGGGAAAAAAAGGCAGCGGUUUAAACCCCCGCUGUUCUGAGGGAACCCAAAAAAAAAGCACGGGCAAAUUUGGU
rnacentral:rRNA from 1 species